GAAAAAUAAUUGAUGAUUCUGUGAUUAUAUUGGUAAAGAAAUUAUAAUUAUAUGAUCACUCUGACACCCCAAUGAGGUGCCUCACAAACUCUAAUCUCUAUUGAAUAUAAUUGAAUAUAAUAAAAAAAAAAAUCAAACAGAAAGUUGUAUAGCAUUGCGCUUAAACACAAACAAACAACACAUGGUGUAGAAACGCACAAUUUGAUUCGUUGCAAGUCCAUAAAUGUUUUGUGAUAUGUUCUCAAACACUUUCAAAUAUUUCAUUAUAUAAUAUAACCAAACAAUUGCCACUAAUCUAUUUGGAUUUAAA
rnacentral:lncRNA from 1 species